CCUACGGGUGGCUGCAGUGGGGAAUAUUGGACAAUGGGGGGAACCCUGAUCCAGCCAUGCCGCGUGUGUGAAGAAGGCCCUCGGGUUGUAAAGCACUUUCAGUGAGGAAGAACGCCUGGUGGUUAAUACCCAUCAGGAAAGACAUCACUCACAGAAGAAGCACCGGCUAACUCCGUGCCAGCAGCCGCGGUAAUACGGAGGGUGCGAGCGUUAAUCGGAAUUACUGGGCGUAAAGCGCGCGUAGGUGGCUUGAUAAGCCGGUUGUGAAAGCCCCGGGCUCAACCUGGGAACGGCAUCCGGAACUGUCAAGCUAGAGUGCAGGAGAGGAAGGUAGAAUUCCCGGUGUAGCGGUGAAAUGCGUAGAGAUCGGGAGGAAUACCAGUGGCGAAGGCGGCCUUCUGGACUGACACUGACACUGAGGUGCGAAAGCGUGGGUAGCAAACAGGAUUAGAUACCCCUGUAGUA
rnacentral:rRNA from 1 species